rnacentral:rRNA from 1 species
AGUUGGUAGGGUAAAGGCCUACCAAGGCUACGACGGGUCGCUGGUCUGAGAGGACGACCAGCCACACUGGCACUGAGAUACGGGCCAGACUCCUACGGGAGGCAGCAGUGAGGAAUAUUGCGCAAUGGGGGAAACCCUGACGCAGCAACGCCGCGUGUGGGAAGAAGGCCUUCGGGUCGUAAACCACUUUUGCACGGGACGAAAAAGGGAUAUCGAACAAAUAUCCCCGAUGACGGUACCGUGAGAAUAAGCCACGGCUAACUCUGUGCCAGCAGCCGCGGUAAGACAGAGGUGGCAAGCGUUGUUCGGAAUUACUGGGCGUAAAGAGUCUGUAGGUGGUUUGUCAAGUCUUUGGUGAAAGGCCGUAGCUUAACUAUGGGAAUGCCAAAGAGACUGGCAGGCUGGAGGCUGGGAGAGGGAAGCGGAAUUUCUGGUGUAGCGGUGAAA